AGUGGGCGUGCAGGAGAAGCUGUAGGUCAGGAGGUAGAGUUGGCAGUGGGCGUGCAGGAGAAGCUGUAGGUCGGAGAGGUAGAGUUGGCAGUGGGCGUGCAGGAGAAGCUGUAGGUCGGAGAGGUAGAGGUGGCAGUGGGCGUGCAGGAGAAGCUGUAGGUCGGAGAGGUAGAGGUGGCAGUGGGCGUGCAGGAGAAGCUGUAGGUCGGGGGGUAGAGGUGGCAGUGGGCGUGCAGGAGAACCUGUAGGUCAGAGUGGAGAGGUGGCAGUGGGCGUGCAGGAGAAGGUGUAGGUCGG
rnacentral:lncRNA from 1 species